AACGAACGCUGGCGGCAGGCCUAACACAUGCAAGUCGAACGCCCUGGCAACAGGGAGUGGCAGACGGGUGAGUAACGCGUGGGAACGUGCCCUUCGGUUCGGAAUAACUCAGGGAAACUUGAGCUAAUACCGAAUACGUGCGAGAGCAGAAAGAUUUAUCGCCGAAGGAUCGGCCCGCGUCCGAUUAGCUAGUUGGUGAGGUAAUGGCUCACCAAGGCGACGAGCGGGAGCUGGUCUGAGAGGAUGAUCAGCCACACUGGGACUGAGACACGGCCCAGACUCCUACGGGAGGCAGCAGUGGGGAAUAUUGGACAAUGGGCGCAAGCCUGAUCCAGCCAUGCCGCGUGAGUGAUGAAGGCCCUAGGGUUGUAAAGCUCUUUCGCCAGGGACGAUAAUGACGGUACCUGGAUAAGAAGCCCCGGCUAACUUCGUGCCAGCAGCCGCCGUAA
rnacentral:rRNA from 1 species